AGAAACAGGAAGAGAGAAUUGAAGGCAGGGAGCUCCUGCCUAUCUAUCUGCCUUUAGAAUUGGGUUACGGCUGGAGAGUAAGUCUGAAAACCCUAGACUUGGCUGUGUGACCCUGACACCUUAUAAAACGAGGUUCAAAGAAGACCUGCUUCAUAGAACGGGUUACGGAGUGAAAUCAUCGGAGGACUCAGCCCACAGCGCUGGCUUUAAUACAUCUUCACUGUUUGAGAGUGCCACACACAUCUGUCCCAACGCCUUCAUCUGAUUAAGCCUAAACCGGCACAUUCUGGUCGCUGUGCCUCACUGACCGUGCCUGUGGUUCCCACAGUACUUUGGAGAUACACUUAGCACCGUGAACCUAAGAACACGCUUCAAAAGAAGUGUUAUCAUUUUCGGCUUCAAAGAACCAUUCUGAGGACUUCCAUGUAUGAAUCAGCAUUCUUUGUCUCCUUUCAUCAUUUUCCUCAGAUCAGGCCUUGCUGGAUACUUGGGCUAAACUUUCUGUUUCUGUGACAGAAUGCAGAAAAACAACUUAAGUGAGAAGCUGUCAUCUUGACUUCAAGCAUAGCAGCUACUCUUGUAUGUCUGGUUUGCCGGGAGACCAUACCUCACGAUGGCGGAGGGGGAUAGUAGGACAAAGUUGAAAUCAUGGCAGCCCAGAAGCACACAGAGUCUUCACUGGUGAACUCUUUCCUUUCCUUCCUUUGAGCUCAUCUGGGCCCCUGGUCAAUGGGAUAAUGCCAUUCAGAUUCAGGGCGGGGCUUCUCACCACAGUCAAUCCUCUUUGGAAAUGGCCCCCAUCCAGAGAUACGUUUAUUGAUCUCCUAAGCCUCUCAGUCAACGAUCAAAAUUAACCAUCUAAGUUUAGCCCUUGUAAAUUUAAUACCUAAUUACGCCCCCUUAAAUUGUAACAUUUCACCCUGGACCUAAAAUCUUCUCAUCUUCUAAUGCAAAAUUCAUUCUAUCUCUCAGAUCCCUCACUGGCUUAACUCCAGGGUCGAGCAGACUCUCCUCUGAGACACAAAGCAAACAUUUACCUUGAGUUCCUGUAAACCUCAAAAAGAAAUACAAAGACCAGUACAGCAUACAAUGGCACAGAGUAAACAUUUCCAUUUCAAAGAACAGGAGACCAGCAAGAAAAGUAUCCAAUGCAAAACCAAAACCUGGCUUGGUUCAGCAGUCAGCAGUCGCUAACCGCUAACCGCUGGGUGGGGCUGGGGCGGAGAGACCGCCAUUGGCCAUUGGCGGGUCGGUUGUUGUUUUUUUAAACUACUCGCUACACUUUCCUUCGAAAUCUAAGUGGAAGCCUCCGUGACCUUGUAACGUUGUGACCUUGGAACGUUGUGUUUUGCCUACAAAUUCAGAAUGGAGUUGAUUGGUGCCAGGGUUUGCUACUACCUUGAGGAGUAGCCAGGCCCUUUGGGUCCAGGACUGCAGCAGCUUCCCAGUACUUAGACGGAGAAGCCUGGAAAACAAGUGGCCCUGAAACUUCUUCUCAAAGCAAAUUCUUUCCAGUGAAUCAAAACUUCAUGGCUUUGAGCCUGUGAUAGGUCGGGGUCCAGCCUUCUUCUGAGAUGCUCUGACAGCAUCUUUGCUGUUGAUCCAGUGGAGAGAUCAUGGCUUCUAUUUAAUGAACCUAAUCUCUUUGACAGCCACACUCUCCUUGGCCUCGACUUCACACAUCUCCCCCUCCAAACCAUUGCCCUCGUUAGUGUCAACAAUUCUUACUGUGAACUCGGGUAAAUAAAUACCCACGCCACAGCCGAGAAUGCCGAGAUGCCUCCAAAUUCCUUCCACCAGUUUAAUUAGUCCAGCACCUUUAAACUCAACCUCCCACAAAGUGUCAGAGCACAGAUAAAAUGUAGACAAGUCCUUUCCUUAAUGUAACACAAACAACUCUAGUCCUAAUGGAGUCUGCAUUGCCAUCUGAAGCCUCAGGAGCACGGUGUAAAUUUCCAUGGGCAUUGUGAUCUUUUGAGUUCUUCCUAGAAUUGACUGUUAGGCCACUUACUUAGCAGUCUAGGUUCCCCUUAGGCAACAUUUCCAAAAAUCCAGAAUUCCUCCAGCAAAUUCCUUCUAAGCUGCCCUUUAGGUUGUCGCAGGGGUGACCUACUUCUGUUAUGAAUUUUCUGUGCUAAUCUGACUUUCUGUGGCUGUAGGCCAUAGAGCUGAGGAGCAACUUAGAGGAAGAUGGGUUUAUCUCUGCUCAUGUUUUGGAGGGUUUCGGUCUGUUAGUUUUCUGGGUUUGUUCGAGGACACUGUAUAUCAUGGCAGUAGGGCAUGGUGGGAAGAGUCAUUACUGCCUGGUACACAGCAGCCAGGAACAGGGAGUGGGAGGAGACAGAAAGACUCACACAGAGAGAUGGAGCUCACAUUUCAAUAUUUUCCCCCUAGUUAGCCCUUCUAGAAAUGUUUACGUAGACACCUCCAGAGAAGUACUUUACUGAUGCCCAAGGCCCUCUCAAUCCAAUCAAGUUGGCAAUCUUGAUUAGAUAUCAGUAGCCCAGGCUGGUCUUGAACUCAUAACCUUCCUUAGCCUUAACAACACUGAGGCAGGAAAUGCUUAGAAUAAGCAUUACAAUGUCAUGCCCAGAUUGCACCCAGAUGUGGGGACAGAGAACUCAGCAUUUGAAUAAUACAAGGAUGAUCUUUACAGGAUACACAGUAACAUUAUGCCUUUAUGUCUUCUUAGAAACCGUUAGCCUUCCUCAAAAGCCCAUGUCAGACUUCUCUUCCUACACCUUAGCUAAGAAAUGGGUUGUGCUUAUUUCUAAGCCCUUCGCUAAUAAGGACAAUGGAUGAAGAAUAACAGUUUGGAUGACACAAUGAAGAGGCAGCAGCCUCAUCCGUGUCCCCUGUGAUACUGAAUAUUCUCAGUCUGUAAGAAUGCUGUGCACAUAACGCUGCUGUGUUUCCCACGUCUGUGUCUCCCAGGUACCCUGAAAAUUCUGGAUUAACUCUUCUUUCUAGGAACAAAGUCUAUUAACACCCAGGACACCAUUAAUUAUUUAUAUUCUUGUAUGGAGGGAAGAAUGAAAUGAACAGUUCUGCAAUGCUGGAGAUGUUCUAACACCAGAGCAUAAAUUAUACAACAGAGCCUUAGUGACAAAGACAAAGAUAAAAAAGAUACAAUGGGGGAAAAAACCUCAUUAUAAAGCAAGUGGUAUUAACUUCAGUAUAAAUAUUUAUAAUACUCUCAUGUAAUUUGUAAGUGCAUCCUCAAUAAGGUUCAAGUAGUUAUUAGUAAAGGCAGGCCUGGUGGCUCACGCCUGUAAUUCCAGGAUUUGGGAAGAAGAGGAAAGAGAAUUGAAGUUCAACGUCCCCUUUGGCUGUUUAAUGAGUUCAAGGCCA
rnacentral:sRNA from 1 species